AUGGCGGACUUGAAGUCCACCCAACUCAUCCUGCAAAAGCACCGUCAAAAAACUACUAUCCGUAUGAUCUGUGGUUCCCCAUGUCAUUUCCGGCUGUGGGCACGGCGGAUAGUAAUGACAGAACAUUACCAUUCCAUCUCCACAACCCAAUUCCUUCAACCGAUUACUCCCCACUCCUAAUCCCUCCCCUAAAUAUUCAAGUAAAAUAUCCCCCAAUUCCUUCACCAUUCUCGAAUAUUCCACUAUCGCCUCCCUCGAUACUUCCGGUAUCUCCUCCUCCUCCACCCCACGCGGUGCCACCACCACCGUCAACGUGUCCCUCCAAUUCGUCGACACCCCUUUGAACAAAUCAAAAUUCGUAUUGAAAAGUAUCUUCCUCUGGAAAUCUCUCGAGUACAGAUCCUUCUUCAUUUCCUCUUCUUGCUCGUGAAACCGCCGGAUUCCGGCCAUCAUCUCCUUCAUUACGCUUAAUGGAACCCCAUGGUUGAGGAUUUGAAAGAAUCCCCAAUUCUUACAAGCGUCUUUGAUUUCGUUUAUUAUUUU
rnacentral:lncRNA from 1 species